rnacentral:rRNA from 1 species
UACGUAGGGGGCUAGCGUUGUCCGGAAUCAUUGGGCGUAAAGAGCGUGUAGGCGGUCCGGUAAGUCCGCUGUGAAAGUCGGGGGCUCAACCCUGGAAAGCCGGUGGAUACUGUCGGGCUAGAGUCCGGAAGAGGCGAGUGGAAUUCCUGGUGUAGCGGUGGAAUGCGCAGAUAUCAGGAGGAACACCGAUGGCGAAGGCAGCUCGCUGGGACGGUACUGACGCUGAGGCGCGAAAGCGUGGGGAGCGAACAGG